AAAAAGACUUUGGCAUGUAUAAACAGAGUUCCUUGUAUUCCCUAAUCCCUGAGACUGCAUGGCUUGCUGGAUAAUUCAGAGCUAAGCACAGAACUGUGCUCAGCUUUCUUCCCUCCUCCCUUUUUGAAGUGUUUCUACUACACAUUUCUGCAGAGGUGAGCAGGAAGACUUGUAGACAGGAGCAAUAACAUCUGCCUGAGUCUGCAGCAGCCUGAAGCAGCACCAAGAGGUGCCUUGUCCUUGCUCUCCCCUCUCAUUUGCUGAUAACACCUUAUCUCCACCAGGGAAGCAACUGGGAAGUUUGCUCCUUCCUCACAUGACUGAAGGUAUAAUUAGAACGAUGCACCUGCUCAGUCCUCCAGUGACUCGCGAUACUUACAGGCUUCAACUGAGAUCGGGGUCUUGUUGUAUGAGACAAUACAGAAACACACAAUAUAAGAAUGUUGGUCCCAGGAGCCUUGUAAGCUAACUAAAGGCUGGGAAAAAAGGAAAUAUUAGCUCCAUUUUACAGAUGGGAAACCAAAGCUCAGAGAAUCUUCCAACACAACUCAGUGCAGUGUUAUGCAGCAAUACUGAAGAGGGAGUUCUGAAAAAGCAACAAAGUCCAGAAUCUGUGCAAAAUAAACGUGGAUUUAAACCCUGCUCUACUGGCAAUCAUCAAUAGCCUGGAAUCUCCUGCAUCAGAAUACUUUUCCUGCUCUUUAAUCUGCUCUGCCCAGCAGUCCCCGUAAAAUCCUGGGGCAGCAGUAGCCAACAGAGGGUAUUCAGUCAAGCCCAAGCAGCAGAGAAGCACUUCAGCAUUCCCUGAAGACAAAACAGAAACCAAGUGGA